AUAUCAAUAAGCGGAGGAAAAGAAACUAACAAGGAUUCCCUCAGUAACGGCGAGUGAAGCGGGAAGAGCUCAAAUUUAAAAUCUGGCUUACUUGUAAGUCCGAGUUGUAGUCUGAAGAAACGUUUUCCAUAAGCACUGGGCACAAGUCCCUUGGAACAGGGCAUCAUAGAGGGUGAGAAUCCCGUCCAUGGUCUCAAGUUGCUUAUUUUGUGAUACGUUUUCAAAGAGUCAGGUUGUUUGGGAAUGCAGCCUAAAAUGGGUGGUAAAUUUCAUCUAAAGCUAAAUAUUGGCGAGAGACCGAUAGCGAACAAGUACCGUGAGGGAAAGAUGAAAAGCACUUUGGAAAGAGAGUGAAACAGUACGUGAAAUUGUUGAAAGGGAAACGCUUGAAGUCAGUCGCGUCGCCCGAGACUCAGCCUCGCCUUGGCUUGGUGUACUUCUCGGCCGACGGGUCAGCAUCAAUUUUGCCCCUUGGAUAAUGGUGAGUGAAAUGUGACACCUUCACGGGUGUGUUAUAGUCUCUCGUCGCAUGCAAGGGUCGGGAUUGAGGAACUCAGCACGCGCCUUCGGGCGUCGGGGUUCGCCCACGAUACGUGCUUAGGAUGUUGGCGUAAUGGCUUUAAACGA
rnacentral:rRNA from 1 species